CCUACGGGGGGCUGCAGUGGGGAAUUUUGGACAAUGGGCGAAAGCCUGAUCCAGCCAUUCCGCGUGCAGGAUGAAGGCCCUCGGGUUGUAAACUGCUUUUGUACAGAACGAAAAAGCUCUUUCUAAUACAGAGAGUCCAUGACGGUACUGUAAGAAUAAGCACCGGCUAACUACGUGCCAGCAGCCGCGGUAAUACGUAGGGUGCAAGCGUUAAUCGGAAUUACUGGGCGUAAAGCGUGCGCAGGCGGUUUUGUAAGACAGAGGUGAAAUCCCCGGGCUCAACCUGGGAACUGCCUUUGUGACUGCAAGGCUGGAGUGCGGCAGAGGGGGAUGGAAUUCCGCGUGUAGCAGUGAAAUGCGUAGAUAUGCGGAGGAACACCGAUGGCGAAGGCAAUCCCCUGGGCCUGCACUGACGCUCAUGCACGAAAGCGUGGGGAGCAAACAGGAUUAGAUACCCGGGUAGUC
rnacentral:rRNA from 1 species